CGAUAGGCUUAACACAUGCAAGUCGAGGGGCAGCAUGAUCUUAGCUUGCUAAGGUCGAUGGCGACCGGCGCACGGGUGCGUAACGCGUAUGCAACUUGCCUUACAGAGGGGGAUAACCCGUUGAAAGACGGACUAAAACCGCAUACACUUGUAUUAUUGCAUGAUAUUACAAGGAAAUAUUUAUAGCUGUAAGAUAGGCAUGCGUCCCAUUGGCUGGUUGGUGAGGUAACGGCUCACCAAGGCGACGAUGGGUAGGGGAACUGAGAGGUUUAUCCCCCACACUGGUACUGAGACACGGACCAGACUCCUACGGGAGGCAGCAGUGAGGAAUAUUGGUCAAUGGGCGAGAGCCUGAACCAGCCAAGUCGCGUGAAGGAAGACAGUCCUAAGGAUUGUAAACUUCUUUUAUACGGGAAUAACGGGCGAUACGAGUAUUGCAUUGAAUGUACCGUAAGAAUAAGCAUCGGCUAACUCCGUGCCAGCAGCCGCGGU
rnacentral:rRNA from 1 species